rfam:Gorilla gorilla gorilla genomic chromosome, chr5, whole genome shotgun sequence
GCCAGGUGUGGUGGCUCAUGCCUGUAAUCCCAGCUACUCCGGAGGCUGAGGCAAGAGGAUCAUUUGAGCCUAGGAGUUCAAAGCUGCAGUGAGCUAUGAUCGCACUACUGCACUCCAGCCUGGGCAACAGAGUGAGACUCUGCCUCUU